AUUGAACGCUGGCGGCAUGCCUUACACAUGCAAGUCGAACGGCAGCGCGGGGCAACCUGGCGGCGAGUGGCGAACGGGUGAGUAAUAUAUCGGAACGUACCCUGGAGUGGGGGAUAACGUAGCGAAAGUUACGCUAAUACCGCAUACGAUCUAAGGAUGAAAGUGGGGGAUUCGCAAGAACCUCAUGCUCCUGGAGCGGCCGAUAUCUGAUUAGCUAGUUGGUGGGGUAAAGGCCUACCAAGGCAUCGAUCAGUAGCUGGUCUGAGAGGACGACCAGCCACACUGGAACUGAGACACGGUCCAGACUCCUACGGGAGGCAGCAGUGGGGAAUUUUGGACAAUGGGCGAAAGCCUGAUCCAGCAAUGCCGCGUGAGUGAAGAAGG
rnacentral:rRNA from 1 species